rnacentral:rRNA from 1 species
GAUGAACGCUAGCGGCAGGCCUAAUACAUGCAAGUCGAGGGGUAUGGGUUGCUUGCAACCCAGAGACCGGCGCACGGGUGCGUAACGCGUAUGCAAUCUACCUUAAUCAGGGGGAUAGCCCGGAGAAAUCCGGAUUAACACCGCAUAACAUUGAGUUGUGGCAUCACAGUUCAAUCAAAUAUUUAUAGGAUUAAGAUGAGCAUGCGUGACAUUAGUUAGUUGGUGAGGUAACGGCUCACCAAGACCACGAUGUCUAGGGGAUCUGAGAGGAUGACCCCCCACACUGGUACUGAGACACGGACCAGACUCCUACGGGAGGCAGCAGUAAGGAAUAGUGGUCAAUGGGCGCAAGCCUGAACCAGCCAUGCCGCGUGCAGGAAGACGGCCCUAUGGGUUGUAAACUGCUUUUGUACCGGAAUAAACCUUCUCUUGCGAGAGAAGCUGAACGUACGGUAAGAAUAAGGAUCGGCUAACUCCGUG